GAAUUUCCCCCAACUGAGUUUUGUGGUUCCUUUUAGGGUAUAUGACGUCCCUAAGCCGUCAUAUUUCCUAUGAAAGGUAGGUGCUGCAUUCAACUAAAACAAAAUGACCUGUUAUUGAUUGAUCCCUUUUAGGGGUGAAAUUUCAGCACUGCCACGCCCACCAUCUCCAAACACAGGUCCCUCUUAGAGGUCAUUUUCAUAAUUUCCGCCGAGGACCCCCGCCCUUUGAUAUUAGGGAGUCCCCCCCGGGAUUCCUCCCUCCUGCAUACUUGUGUGCAAGCAGUUGAUGUUCGGGGUGGUUGACGUGAUUACCGUGCCCAGGCCUCUAUGGCGAGCACGGUCUUAACAUGAAAGCAUUUUUUGCACGUUAGAGGUUUUUAACAAGAGCUCGGCGAUUUUCCCAAGACCUCACAUCGAUUGAGACAAUAUYGCUCCAGCUGAUAAAAACACAUGGUAUGAUGGCAGUCGUUCGAGGAGAUGAAACUACUGAACAUUUUUGCUAUUUGGGGCAUACGAUAUAGACUUCCUCUCGAACAAAGCAGAAUUCCACGACGAAUUGUCAAAUGUCUCAGGACCAAGAAUCAGGAAGGGUUCGUUUCAGACAUCUUUUCACAGUUUUUUUUUUCUUUAGUUGGAAAGAAUAUAAUAUCAACUGUAAUAUUAGUUUUUUAAAAAGUUGAUUUCGAUUUUUUAAACGCGAUUAAUUAAUGAAAAUAAAAAUCGUGACGAAAACUAUUCCAGAAACUGAAACCUAAUCCAACGUGUAUAUACAGCUAUUUCAAAAAACUUUGUCGGGUUGAAUGCUGAAUGGCGAUUGUCGAAGGGAGAUUGCACGUAGUUCYGYGUAGUGGUUYUUGUUUGUCAUAAAGUGCUGUCAGGUGUUGCUUUUGACAUUCCCCACAGUUCGGCGGUGUUUUCUUGCAAUCGGUAGCAUGCUAAGUUCAGAGCUGAUAGUAGUCGCUUGGCUGCUCCAUUGACAUUUUUACGUUCUGUUCAGGGGCAGAUCCAGGAUUUCCUCAGGGGAGGGGUGAAGGGCUGUCAGGAGGGGGUACACCCCCGACAAAAAUCAUUACCAUGAAGAUACAAAAUAAGGAAGGUAUUGAAGGAUUGAGAUCUCAGGAGGGGGUUUGCACCUGGAUCCGCGCCCCUGCUGGUUAAGGAGAGAAUCGCUGUUCUUGUUUAUGGAUUGGAUAUUUUCGUUGCUUUUCCAAGGUGUGUUUCUACUGGACUAGAUGGCUUGUAGAAGUGCCGUCUGUGCUGUCCAUCUGAUAUAUAGGCCUUUUGUAAUAAUAUUAAUGUUAAUAUAGCAAAAGGGGAUUCCAUAUAUUUCUCCAUAUAACCACCUGGACAUCAUCAUAGGACAAGGGACCAUAGGAUGUGAAAUUUAUGAAGAUCUUCCAUCAGUAGAUGUUGUGAUUGUCUCUGUUGGUGGAGGWGGGCUGAUUAGUGGUAUUGCAUCCUACUUGAAGUCUGUCAAACCAGGCAUUAAGAUUGUUGGCUGUGAAGCAGUGAAAUCAUGUCCAAUGCAAGAAUCUGUGAAGGCUGGUAAAGUUGUAACUGUUGAAGUCAGUCCAACUUUGUCGGAUGGAACUGCUGGCGAUGUGGAACCAGGAGCGAUAACAUUGGAGUUUUGUCAAAAACUAGUGGAUGACUGGGUACUUAUCACCGAAGACGAAAUCAGUAGUGCUAUCUAUAACACUUUAAAAUAUCAUCAUAAGAUAAUAGAAGGUGCAGCAGGAUUGGCUGUAGCAGCAUAUAUUAAGACAAUGGACAAAUACAAAGGCAAAAAUGUGGUGAUAAUUUCGUGUGGACGUAACAUAAGUAUGCAGAAAUUGAAAGCCAUCAUUAACAAACACAAUGAUUGAUGUACUUUGGUAUCUUGUAUUAAAGUCUAAGCUGGUGUGUUUUAAGCCUGUGAACAAAAGAAAAGACAAUUGGAAUGAAGUCAAGCGUGCAUCGAUAUAAGCAUAGUAACAAAUAACAUAAGGCAGAGCAUAAGCUUAAGGAAUAAACAGAGAAAAACACCUUCC